rnacentral:rRNA from 1 species
UACGUAGGGUGCAAGCGUUAUCCGGAAUUAUUGGGCGUAAAGAGCUCGUAGGCGGUUUGUCGCGUCUGCUGUGAAAACCGGAGGCUCAACCUCCGGCCUGCAGUGGGUACGGGCAAACUAGAGUGCGGUAGGGGAGAUUGGAAUUCCUGGUGUAGCGGUGGAAUGCGCAGAUAUCAGGAGGAACACCGAUGGCGAAGGCGGCAUCCUGGACCGAGAUUGACGCUGAUGCGCGAAAGCCAGGGGAGCAAACGGG